ACUAAUUUCAAAAUUGCGCGUUCUUCUUCAUCGGCUAGCCGUAUUCCAAAUUGAAUUCAGCCGGACUCUCGACCAUUGCGGCUGAGCUCCCGAGAAUCCAAAAUCGAGACGCCACCACCACCACUUCUUCCUCCCUCCGCGCCUCGAUCUCGACCAUUGCUUAGCGCCGCUGAGCUCCCCGCCGAUAAGCCUGCGCAAAGCUCGUGUCGAAGAACGCGUAGAAGAAGGCGAACUCUCGACCUCUACCUCGAUUACUCAGACAUGGUCUCCGUCUCCAGCUUGGUGUGAAUUUUCACAAUGAAUCGGUUAAUUCCACAAUUGAACCGAUUGAAAUGGCAGUAGCCUGAGACUGUUUGCGAGCUUGUUGGAAUCUCUGUGUGGAAAACUUAAGAGGCUUGAUCAUGCUGAUUUGAGAUACAAGUGCACGACAUAUGCACGCCUCUUGCAACACUUGGAGGUAUUCCACAAUUCUUUCUCUAUCAGCCAUGAAUUUACUGUUAGUUUUGGCAUAGAUUUGCUACUCAUGCAACACGAAUGGAGCAAUACCUUCAAGGACAAUGGAGGAAUCUGGUUGACCAGGCUUACACAAAGUUUUAGUCCCUCUCUGCCAAUGCAAACCUCACUCAAGAUUUCCCUCUCUCCUCAGUUUACCCUAGUUUCUCAGUGUGCUAGUUUGGGAGAUAGAGCUCAGGUUGAGCAGCUGGUGCAAUAUAUUGUUGAGGAACCCUAGAGGAUACUGAUAACAAAAGGACCUUCAGCUUCCAAAUGUCACAGGUUUUACUUGGAAAAUGACAUCUCAACAGCAAAAAGAUGAGUAUUAUCAAGAAUUUUGAGCAAUUUUGCGAGGAAUAUUUCGGUUGCCAACCCUGACUGGAGAAGUUGUUGUAAAGGUUUGUUUAAAUUUUCUUCCUUUUUAAAGUAAACAAGUACAAAAAAGGAACAUGGUCAUAGCAACUCGGUUCCAUUUUUAUCUGUUCGUGUGCCUUUCUUCACCUGAUGUGUCUAGGUUGAAGGGAUGGUCUGGUGGUACGAGAGAUUUGCUGUAAUCUACCAUCUUCUGUAUUGUCAUUCUACUACUGAAUACUGAAGUUGACUACUCUUUUUGUUUGUAUGUACACCUUUGUGUUUGUAUGUACACCUUAGUGUUUGUAUGUACACCUUAGCAUGCAACCUGGACAGAAGGUUGUUUUGAAGAAAAAAGGGAGCUACUGCUGCAAAACGUGGUGCAAGUUCAUGAUUCUCUGGCCUCAAUCGAUGUCUGGACUUAGAAAGUCACAGGGACCUCGAGAGUGUUGGAGGAUCAUGUGAACUCCGUGUUGAGGUACUCUGAAGUACUCUACAAGCAGUCUAAGGGGAUAAUGUCGACUCAAAGGGAGCUGAGCGAGGUGCAAGCUUUGAUGAAGGAGAAUCUGGCACAGGGAAUAGCAUUGCUUCAGAGCUCGUACUAAAAUCUUAGAGACAAAAUUGCCAAGCUGAGAAACGAAGCAGCUGAGGCAGAGGUCGAGAAUUGGAAGGUUGGGAUGCAAUGUCGUCUGAGUGAGUGUCCUGCAGGAUAAAGCAGACGGUAUAGGGAAUAUGGUUGUGCGCGUUGGAUAAACAAAAAGAGCUUUUGGAUGGGCUGUCCGUAGCUUUCGUUGUAUUUUCUUUUUAACAUAAUGCAAUUAUACAUUUCAUACUUUUGUUGCUUGUUUUAACUACUAACAUUUAUACUUAAUCAUCAUAAUUUUUGGAUUUAA